CUCUUUUCAUUUUGCCACCCUUUUCCAGCUCCAUGAUGGUUCUGCAGGUUUCUGCGGCCCCCCGGACAGUGGCUCUGACGGCGUUACUGAUGGUGCUGCUCACAUCUGUGGUCCAGGGCAGGGCCACUCCAGAGAAUUACGUGUACCAGGGACGGCAGGAAUGCUACGCGUUUAAUGGGACACAGCGCUACCUGGAGAGAUACAUCUACAACCGGGAGGAGUACGCGCGCUUCGACAGCGACGUGGGGGAGUUCCGGGCGGUGACGGAGCUGGGGCGGCCUGCUGCGGAGUACUGGAACAGCCAGAAGGACCUCCUGGAGGAGAAGCGGGCAGUGCCGGACAGGAUGUGCAGACACAACUACGAGCUGAACGAGGCCGUGACCCUGCAGCGCCGAGGUGAGUGGGAGCUUUGGGCCAGGAGUCCCAGGGCAGCCGCAGGGGCCCGUGCCCAGGGCGCAGGAGCAGCCGGGCCGGCCUAAGGGACCUUAGUGCCAGGCAGGAAGAGGACUUUGGGUUGGGGAUUCAUCGGGGGAGCCCAUCUGGAGCUUGUCAGGGGAGCGAGCGCGGGGACCUGGACUGGGCUGAGCAUGGAGUGAGGAGGACGGGAGCAGAGAGACCCCCAGGACUUCAUCAGGCCUGGCAGCCGACUGCAUGUGGGGUGAGAAAAGGAAGCCACAGGACAGCGCACAAGGG
rnacentral:sRNA from 1 species